AGAACUUUCCAGAGAUGGAUUGGUGCCUUCGGGAACUCUGAGACAGGUGCUGCAUGGCUGUCGUCAGCUCGUGUUGUGAAAUGUUGGGUUAAGUCCCGCAACGAGCGCAACCCUUAUCCUUUGUUGCCAGCGGUUAGGCCGGGAACUCAAAGGAGACUGCCAGUGAUAAACUGGAGGAAGGUGGGGAUGACGUCAAGUCAUCAUGGCCCUUACGAGUAGGGCUACACACGUGCUACAAUGGCGCAUACAAAGAGAAGCGACCUCGCGAGAGCAAGCGGACCUCAUAAAGUGCGUCGUAGUCCGGAUUGGAGUCUGCAACUCGACUCCAUGAAGUCGGAAUCGCUAGUAAUCGUGGAUCAGAAUGCCACGGUGAAUACGUUCCCGGGCCUUGUACACACCGCCCGUCACACCAUGGGAGUGGGUUGCAAAAGAAGUAGGUAGCUUAACCCUCGGGAGGGCGCUUACCACUUUGUGAUUCAUGACUGGGGUGAAGUCGUAACAAGGUAAGCGUAGUGCU
rnacentral:rRNA from 1 species